AAUUAAAAUGUCUGCCAUCUAGUGGAAGCGCAUUUCAUUGUUCCGCCUGCCACUAUAUAUAGUCCCUCACUAUAUCGCGGUUCGCCUUUUGCGGCUUCGGUGCAUUGCAGAUUUGUUGUUUUCUAACAUUUUGACAGUGGCUGAUUCGCUCGUUUGGGAUCAUUUCACACACAAACAGAAGCGCAACGUGCCUGUUGUAAAGCACAGCUGGCCCGAGUCACAAAACUACAUGUUUAUGGCGUCCCAACAGCAGGAAAGACACGGCCGCCGGUGCACUUUGGAUCGCAUCGUUGAACCAAGGCCACAUACAAUGAUGUGGCGGGCCGGAUCUGGCCCCCGGGCCUUGACUUUGACACCCGUGAUCGAGAUGAAAAUGUUUUUGACACCAGUGAUGAAGAAUACGGGAGGGAAUAAUAUGCGGAUGUUGCCGGGGGGGGCGUCAUUCAGGGGCGGGGGCGAAGUCCAAGUCGGGGUAACAUUGGAGCAUCAAGUCAACGGAGGUAGGCCGCUCGCCGCAUCAGCGCAACCACGCAAGACGAAAACACAGUGCGGCGCAGACACCGAGAAUCACAGACAAUGAAAAAAGCACGAGUCAUUUCGGCACCUCUUGCAUUGUGCCAGCAAAACGUGACUACGAGAUGCGUUUACCGGCCGAACCAGAAACUCUUCAGGCCGAACACCGGAAAGGUGGGACAUUCUACAUUUGCAACCACAUGAAGUCUUUUUCAAUGCAAGUUCAGUGAGUAGCACCGGUACUCUUAUUUUAGUAGUGCUGCGCGUGCGUCCAUGUAAAGUGUCCGUGUCAGGAAACCUGUGGGCAGACUUCCAAGGAUGCGCGUCAGGCGUCAGGCAAAGUGUCCACAGCUGACACUGAUGAGCUGUGGUCAUCACCAAGUCCCAGCCUCUUUUCAAGCUGGCCAAAUAACAUCAUCCUCAACACGGAGGAGGGGGAAACAAAUGCACCGUUACAGCCAAUGUCCACAAGGCAGUGCCGAAGAGCCCCUAAAGUCUCCGCAACACAAUGGAAACCAGAAUGUGUAUGUGUGUGUGUGUGUGUGUGUGUGUAGCUACGUCUGCCGGAGUGAAAGCGCAUCACUGUCGACAGAUCGGUGACUACGGUACUCCUAAGGCCCGCAACCAAAAGCGACUCAACUGGGACAAUCGCGGAACAAACCCAGUCGGCAACUCCCAGCUGCACAUCAGGCGAUUGACCCUCGCCGACCCCCGGUGUUGUCAUCGGGAAACAACGUUUUUGGGAGAUGCCACGUACCUCGUUGCAAUCUCAUCUUUUCCCCAUUGAAUCACAAGUAACAUAAGCAUGCCACAAGAGGGCAGCAAACCAAUACUUUUGUCGAAAUGAAACUCCUCAACUGACUUCAACAUCGCUGAACGUUUGUGUUCUAGGGCCACAUUGGAAUUUUAAACAGUACACGUUCGUGGAAGAGCUUGAAAAAAAAAAAAGAGAAAAUGCAACAAAAUAGCCAUAGAUGCUUAUUUUCAAAUUGUAUUUUUGCUUAAAAAUAGAAAUGUACAGUAUAUUUACAAUUGAUUAUGGUUAUAUUCGAUAAAUGACCAGUAAAUUUGGACCUACGAACGACAACCGCGGCCUAUUGUCCAAUGAAAACCUCUCUGGCAGUGUUAAUGAGCCCGACGUGAGUGUCAUUUGUAAAAAGCAAAAUUCGCUCUGAUUGUGAAAAUAAAUGAGUGAUGCCAGCUUAUAAACGUGACAACAUACUGUAAAUACACACAAGCACUAACUAGGUCUGCGUACAGUGAUGCCAUUGUAAAAUGUUCGGAUGCAAGUCCAACUCCAUCUUGGCACAGUACUUAGUUAAAAUUGGAUUGAUUUCAUGCAUUCGGCAGAUCAAACAACAUUUAUCUCCUUUAGUUCACUCCGCUUUUGAGCGAGCGUCUGUCUCCGUGUGUUCUCAUAAAAGCUGAGCGCAUUCCAUCUGCAAUGAAACGGCUGAAUACGACGUUUAAUUGAAUCAGAAGGAUGAACUGUCUUUUUUUUAUUUCCAGUGAAAAUAGACAGCCAGCCGCCAGAGCAGACAGAAAUUGUGGAAACGCUGCAGAGGAAAAAACAACAACAACAACAACACACAAACAGCUACGUAACAUUUUUACAGGACUUCAGCAGGAAUCAAAUUCCGUCACAUCAUGCAAAUGUCCAUUUUCAGCCGUAAUGUUAUAAAUCGUAAGCGUAAAUAACUGUCCUUCUAUGUUCAGGUGACAGGCAAGCUGGAGCCUAAGGCUGACUUUGGGUGAUAUUUGGGGUGGGGCGUCAAUUGUAAACGUUCCACACAUGCUGUAAAGUGUGACUACCCAUAAGCACUGCUGCAACAUUUGUUUUCAAUUUGAACACAGAGAAAGGCAUUAUACAUUCCAAAAAUUGAGGAGAAAAAAAAAACCAUACUUACUGGUCAAUUUUCAGCUUUGGUUCCUCACUCUUGUGGUUAAAUACGGUCCAUCGGGUCACGGGAAACGCAAGUGAUGAGCCAAUAACACCUACGAAGAAGCGAAGCGGUAAGAAAAAGCUCAAAUUGUUCGGCCCAAGCAUAAACGUGUUGACAUUUACCAAGGAAGAAAAAGGAAGGGAGGCCCUGACGACCGUGCAAUUAUGAGCACUUUAUUUUCAAUUAAGACUCUUCUUUCUUCCAUUUUUGAUGAUGCAGACUUCUGUGGACUGAAGAUUGAUUUAUUAGCAAACGUCUGCAUGUUUGCUUAUUUAAGUGAAGGUGCACUAAGAAAAAAAACUGCAAGAAUAGCCAUUUUCCUAAUGCUAUUGUGUUACAAAACUGAAUCCUGCUUUUGGGUUUUUCAAAAAGGUAACGUUCUUAUAGUUUCCAUGUGUGAGGAUUGUCUCGCCAUGACAAAAAAAAAAAAAGAAAAAGAAACACUUGCGAAGUAAAGUACGAUUUCCCCUCGGGAUUAUUAAAUAAUUGAAAUUGGUAAUGUAUUAAAUAGUUCAUAUUUGAACUACAAGAUAAACUCAUGAAUCAAUGGCUAAAAGUUUGAAGCUUAGUCUCCAUGGUAACAAGUAACCAAGACUGGAACUAAAGGGUAACUUUGACAUAUUGCGAGACUAUUCUUGUUAAUUGCCUACUUUUGGUGCACAAAACAGGUUUGCGUGUGUUGGGCCUCGGUUGCAUUAGAAAGGCUGGACGACAUUUCACCUCAGCAUCGAUCUCCCGAGAAAACCACUUUACGGUUUCAUCUAAUUCCUCCUGGCACUGAAAAGCUUCUACAAAGAGAACGUCCACAUGAGGGUUUAAAGGGAGAAAAAUACUGGACGGGUCAAUCAUUCUAUAGAUUUCCUGGAAGCAAUGAACGUGGGGCUUUUUACAGAGAUAUGGUCAAUUAGAAAUAUUAACUUGGGUGUUCAAUUUU